GUCGAGCGAACAGAAGGGAGCUUGCUCCCGGAUGUUAGCGGCGGACGGGUGAGUAACACGUGGGUAACCUGCCUGUAAGACUGGGAUAACUCCGGGAAACCGGAGCUAAUACCGGAUAGUUCCUUGAACCGCAUGGUUCAAGGAUGAAAGACGGUUUCGGCUGUCACUUACAGAUGGACCCGCGGCGCAUUAGCUAGUUGGUGGGGUAAUGGCUCACCAAGGCGACGAUGCGUACCCGACCUGAGAGGGUGAUCGGCCACACUGGGACUGAGACACGGCCCAGACUCCUACGGGAGGCAGCAGUAGGGAAUCUUCCGCAAUGGACGAAAGUCUGACGGAGCAACGCCGCGUGAGUGAUGAAGGUUUUCGGAUCGUAAAGCUCUGUUGUUAGGGAAAAACAAGUGCGAGAGUAACUGCUCGCACCUUGACGGUACCUAACCAGAAAGCCACGGCUAACUACGUGCCAGCAGCCGCGGUAAUACGUAGGUGGCAAGCGUUGUCCGGAAUUAUUGGGCGUAAAGGGCUCGCAGGCGGUUUCUUAAGUCUGAUGUGAAAGCCCCCGGCUCAACCGGGGAGGGUCAUUGGAAACUGGGAAACUUGAGUGCAAAAGAGGAGAGUGAAUUCCACGUGUAGCGGUGAAAUGCGUAGAGAUGUGGAGGAACACCAGUGCGAAGGCGACUCUCUGGUCUGUAACUGACGCUGAGGAGCGAAAGCGUGGGGAGCGAACAGGAUUACAUACGCUGCUAC
rnacentral:rRNA from 1 species